rnacentral:rRNA from 1 species
ACGCUCGACACCUACGGGAGGCAGCAGGUGGGGAAUAUUGCACAAUGGGGGAAACCCUGAUGCAGCGACGCCGCGUGAGCGAAGAAGUAUCUCGGUAUGUAAAGCUCUAUCAGCAGGGAAGAAGAUGACGGUACCUGACUAAGAAGCACCGGCUAAAUACGUGCCAACAGCCGCGGUAAUCUGAGGCGGGCUGGCAAGGC